rnacentral:rRNA from 1 species
AUUGAACGCUGGCGGCAUGCCUUACACAUGCAAGUCGAACGGCAGCACGGGAGCAAUCCUGGUGGCGAGUGGCGAACGGGUGAGUAAAGUAUCGGAACGUGCCCAGUCGUGGGGGAUAACGUAGCGAAAGUUACGCUAAUACCGCAUACGAUCUAUGGAUGAAAGCGGGGGAUCGCAAGACCUCGCGCGAUUGGAGCGGCCGAUAUCAGAUUAGGUAGUUGGUGGGGUAAAGGCGCACCAAGCCGACGAUCUGUAGAUGGUCUGAGAGGACGACCAGCCACACUGGGUCGGAGACACGGCCCAGACUCCUACGGGAGGCAGCAGUGGGGAAUUUUGGACAAUGGGCGAAAGCCUGAUCCAGCCAUGCCGCGUGCAGGAUGAAGGCCUUCGGGUUGUAAACUGCUUUUGUACGGAACGAAAAGGACUGCCCUAAUACGGUGGUCCCAUGACGGUACCGUAAGAAUAAGCACCGGCUAACUACGUGCCAGCCGCCGCCGUAAGAC